GUUGGGUUGGACAUCUCCUGGUUUGCUAGGUCUACAUUUGCUCUGAGUCCUGCCAUCAAAACAAAAGCACUUUCUUAGAACAGGACGUGCAGCGUGGGGCUCAUCGUGAGUAACGCUUUCAGCCUUCGGGGGCCUGGGGGGGGUGUCACACAGCAACCGGAAGCCCCCCUCCUUCCAGUGUUGGAAGAACAGCCAGGUUGCCUUUCUGUUUCGGUUUGGUUUGUUUGACUGAGAAGGGACAAACCCUCAAGGUGCCACCCUGGGCAGGUCCUCUGUUCCUCCAGAGAGCAACAGCCAGCUCCGGGAGAGGAUCAGGUGCCCACGUCUGGUGACUGGAAGGAAGGCCCUGCGUGUGCAAGGCGACUUGCAGCCAGCUGCAUCGUACACCCUCGGCACAGAAAACCUCUGUAAAAGCAAUACGGAGACCAGGUCAGGACCUUGGGAUGGAACAAGAGCUGGAGAAGCUGGGAUGGAGUGGGAAGUCCGAGCCUUAUUUCUGGUUCAGUGUCCUGUAAAGGGCUGAGCCAGACAGCAGAGGUCUCUCACCCCCACACCCAUGAGGCCUGCAGUGGAGAGGUCCCGCAAGAACAGAAGCCACGGGAGGCCCAGGUUGUGUCCACAUGCAUUGAAGCAGCGACUUCACCUCCAAGCUAGGAGCUCCUCCUCACCCAGCCUCCUACUGUGGAAUGCCCAUGCUCCUGCGACCGUGACCCCAAUCCCACGGGCCAGUGACAAGGACAGGGUCACUGUGGAAUGAAGAGGUGGGAUCGUUUCUUCAAGUGAUGAGAAGCUCAAGGCAACAGCGGAGCAUCACAGCAGCACUGCUCUCCGGAGAUGUGGUGGCCCCAGACUCGUCACAUGCAUGUGCACACACGCGCACACACACACGUGUGCAUACACACAUUUCCCCACACCUUUGCUCUCCCUAGUUAAUACAGAGGAGCUCUGGUCACAAUGGAGCCAAUGUGAAAGCUCCUAACAGGUUGAUUCCCAAGUUUUCUGUUGCUGUCACGUCCACGAUGGCAGCUGUGGUAUGUGGAGAAGUGAAAUGUGUACUGACAGAUGACUGCAUUGUUGGGAGGAGACAUUAUUUCAAAUGUAAAAAUACCAGGACAUGGGGAAACCCUAGUCAGCCCAUGAAGGCUACUGUUUGAAUUCCCUCUUGUUAGAUAGUCAUAACAAAAGCCAUGGCUCUCAUGGGCUGCUCAGGAAGGGCUUUGCACGUAGCAUUCUGUGAGUCCAUCCAGCAGCCCAAGCCUCCUGGACAGGCGCUUUGGGGCCCACAUUAUGGAUGGAGGCAGAGAGCACUAGGUAGCACCUGAUGUCACAAUGUGAAGGGGUCACAUGAGGACUGGCUUUCUGCACUCAGUGAACAGCUGCUGAGUCUCGGGGCAGAGUAGGCACGGCUCGAGGUUGAAGCAAUCCCACCACAGUGGGAUUCCUGGGAAGAUCGCAGCAAGCGGGGCUUUCUGCAGAGGGGAUUUGCCUCCUCUCUAAAUGAAUCCGUGUUGGGUAGAACAUGAAUUAAGUCAGCAAAACAGAGGGGAAGACAGCGAGGGACAACUGCACCCCUUUUUAGGACAGCACCAGGGUGGGCUUCUUCUAUUCAGAAAGGCAAGGACAGCAUCCACCUUAGUGUGUCCUAAGGCCUGCGAGAAGCCGGCAUCCCCAAGGAGCUGGAG
rnacentral:lncRNA from 1 species